rnacentral:RNase_P_RNA from 1 species
GGUCUAUUCCAGGUAAUCGCUCUCACCAGCAUCUGGGGAGGGAGGAAAGUCUGGACUCUAUUUCGGUCCCGUAUGUGGGUACUUAUUUUCGAAGUAAGUGACCAUAACGGGAUAGGUACCGUUAAUCCGACCUUGAGUCGUGAAGAGCGGCUGGGAGUGAUCUCAGGGAGAAAAGGGCAACAGAAAAAAACUACUCUCGACUUGUCGGGAGAAAAGCUGAAACGGUGGUGUAAGAGACCACCGCCUGGCAGAGUAAUUUGUCAGGGACUGGUAACCCCUACCUAGAGCAAUCCCGUAAGACGGGAGCAUUAGAUAAAUGAUUGCCUAAAACAGAAUCCGGCUUAUGGAAUAGACCCCCU